ensembl:lncRNA
GAUGGAUUUGUGGGGAUAAUCAUAUGAAAUCAAGGCUACGUUUGGCCUGUUAAUAUUGGGAGAUGUUGGCCUCUAGAAGAGCUGCAUUUUAAACUUCAUAAAUGCAAAUAAUUUCUAGAAUGUUUUGUGAAAUAUCUGUGUGCUUUUUAAAAGAUUUUUAUUGUUAAAUCUGCAAGUCAGUUAACUAAAUAUGGUUUUUGUUUGUUUGUUUGUUGCAAAAAUAUAGUAUUUUCAUGUCAAAUCCUUUAAUGCUGUUCAGCAGAAUUAUUUUUAAAAUGUACACUGCAAUUUUACUUUAGCCGCUACUGUAAGCAGUUUUUUUCACCUGUUGUCAAGCAGCACCAAGUUGUGGAUCUCUUAGGAGCCAUUCGUGCAGAAGAUAAAUGUAAUGAAGAGUAAAUGUUGUAAACGUUCAGUCAUAGAACCACAAAAUAUCCUGAGUUGGAAGGACCCACAAGGAUUGAGUCCAUCUCCAGACUUCAUGAAUACCAACAUGCCUGAGGCCAUGACCACUUCCAUGAAGACUUUGCUUCAGUGCCUGACCACCCCGUCAGUGAAGAACUUUUGAAGCAAACAUAAAAUCUGAACUUCCCUUGAUGAAAUUUUAAGCCAUUCCCUUGGGCCUAUCAUGGACCACCAGAGAGGAGAGAUCUGCACCUCCCUCUCUGCUCUCUCUCAUGAGGAAGCUGUAGACAGCAAUGAGAUUACCCCUAAGACUCAUCUUCUCUAAGCUGAACAAGCCAAUUGUGCUCAGCUGCUCCUUGUAAGUCAAACCCUCUAGUUCUUUCAUCAUUUUUGUUGCCCUCCUUUGGACAGACCGAAAUAGUACUCAAGGUGAGACUGUACCAGUGCUGAGUACGGUGGGACAAUGACUUUUUUUCUAUUAGCUGUACUGAGCUUAAUGCACUACAGGAUAUUGUUGGUCCUUCUGGCCACCAGGACAUAUUGUUGACUCAUAUUGAGCUUAACAGGAAAGAGGAAGAAACUGGGUACAUGUAAACUUGUUGUUUCCAUUUUCCUUGAUUCCAGGAACCUACAGAAAGAUAUAAAACUGACUGAGCUAUUUUAAAAGAUCUUUUACAUUAGAUUUGAAAUAAACUUUCAAAAUUUUUUGUUUAAACAAAUUUGGACUUCACAUUCUAUAUUUCAGAGACCUGCUGCUCGGCAAUGCAGAUUUUACAGAGACACAUAGCUUAGAACUUACUGAUGAUCUAAUUAAACGAGGAAUUAUUGAUACAGUUAUGCAAAACUUUAAUGAUGAUAUUCUCAAAUUCAUUAUGAAAGGGAUCUCUGAAGGGAAUCAGACUGAUGUGAUUCACCCUGUACCGUGCUAGGCUCAUCAGCUUCUUUGUAUCACUCCACUACUCUAAGAAGUCCAUCAUCCAGCAAGACUUGAACCCUUUGCAUGUACAUCAUCCAUUUCACUCAUAUCUGAAGUUUAGAGUUUUCAGAGUAACAUAGCAACAGAACUUUCCUAUCUCCUCCUUCCUCUUCAUUUCCUGGGAUAUGGCUUCUCUUCCUAUGGAAAUCUCUUCAACCAGCUCUUAGGUGACUAAAAUAUAUUCAUUUUAACAGGUGGAAAUAGAAAAAGUAUUUUUUUUUUUCCUGGAUUAUUGCUGUACUACUUGUUUCUAUAGAAACUUUCGGGCAACAGGAAGAAUAUUUGAUGGUAAUAACAGUGGUGUGACAUUAAACAGUAAAAAAGGAAAAACACGAAUAGGAUAAACACAUUACAACAUUCAGAUGUAUUUGAGCAGAAAAAAGACUCUAACUACAGGUCUUUACAUUUUUAUUUGUUGACUUGAAGGCAUGUCCUAAAAGAAUAAAGAGAAGCCAGAAUUAAGCUGACGUGGCCAUCAUCAUUCUGAACCUUUACCUUUCCGUCCUUUUCUCCCUUUAAGCUCGUCAUAGAUUUUAAGCAUUUGGGGUUAAGAUUCAUAUCUUACUAAGCUUUUGCAGCAAACAGAAGACUGAAACAUAAAUCUUUAUGAUGAUCUGUGGAUACUAUCUCAAUAGAAUCAAUAAUGCAGCCAUGUUAUUUGAAGACUUCUAGAAAUAACCAUGUGGUUUCCUGUAAUACUGUCUUACCUUGAUUAUUAUGUAGAUUGCUUUCUUCCACAAAUCUGUUUCCAAUCACAGGAAUGGAACAUGAACCAUGAUUAGGCAAAGUAAUAAACUAAAACUGGAAAAAAAAAAAAAAAAUAGUAUAAAUCUCUUUUCUCAGUGCAAAAAUCGUCCAAUGCAUAUCACAAUUUAAAAGUGGAAAAAUAUAAGGCUGUAUAUUAUGUC